rnacentral:tRNA from 1 species
UCUUUGGGGGUCAAGUGGCUAAGACUUGGCACUUCCAAUGCAGGGUGCCCAGGUUUAAUCCCUGGUAGGAGAA